GACGAACGCUGGCGGCGUGCUUAACACAUGCAAGUCGAACGGAAAGGCCCUGCUUUUGUGGGUUGCUCGAGUGGCGAACGGGUGAGUAACACGUGAGUAACCUGCCCUUGACUUUGGGAUAACUUCAGGAAACUGGGGCUAAUACCGGAUAGGAGCUCCUGCUGCAUGGUGGGGGUUGGAAAGUUUCGGCGGUUGGGGAUGGACUCGCGGCUUAUCAGCUUGUUGGUGGGGUAGUGGCUUACCACGGCUUUGACGGGUAGCCGGCCUGGGAGGGUGACCGGCCACCUUGCGACUGCGAUACGGCCCAGAAGCGUACGGGAGGCAGUAGUGGGGAAUAUUGCACAAUGGGCGGAAGCCUGAUGCAGCAACGCCGCGUGCGGGAUGACGGCCUUCGGGUUAUAAACAGCUUUCGACUGUGACGAAGCGUGAGUGACGGUAAUGGGUAAAGAAGCACCGGCUAACUACGUG
rnacentral:rRNA from 1 species